GGAGGCUUCGCCUAGUCCGGUCUAUGGCGCCUCACUGCUAAUGAGGUUUGGGCCUUAAAGCCCAUCCGGGGUUCAAAUCCCCGAGCCUCCG
rnacentral:tRNA from 1 species